rnacentral:lncRNA from 1 species
UGAAGACUUGGGCUCUAAGUCUGUUAGGUGAUUUUUGUGUAGGAUCUUUGUGAGUACCACAGAACGAUGGACAAGGCUAGUAGUUGUAUUGAUUUGCAAGUAAGAAAGUAGAAAAAGACGUUUUAUUAGAUCAAAGAGCUGGAACUACAACAGUUUUGAGUAACAACCCUUGUUCUAGCCGCCUACCUCAAAUCUCUAAGUCUCGAAGUGUCGAUCCCUUGCUUUAGGGUUUAGGUUCCCUUUAUAUAGUCUUCUUAAGGCGGGCCUUAGUCGAUUGGAGUAGGUUAAACUAUUUCAUUUUCGAAUUCGGAAAUAUGGAAGGUUCUCCUUAUCAGAAGCUUUCCUUUUCCCGGGGGAAGGGGGCGAUCCCAGGGACCGGACCUGGAGUACUCCGUAGCGGGGAACCGGGGUACCUCUUAGCGGGGACCCAGAGGUCGGUGUCCUACAUGGGGUCUGAAGGAAUUUAAUACCUGAGUAUUUUUCCCAAACAGUCUGCCCCUUAUUGCUCGAUUUCGUCAUUGAACUAGGGGAAUAACCUGUGCACUCAA